GAUAAAAGUUGCUUCUCCUCAUUCAUCGUGUCCAUCUCUUUUUCCUUCCUCUUUUUCUUUCUCUCCUCGGUAUUAACUUCCAUUCUAACUAAAAAAAAGUCAGUUCUUAUUCUGAGAAUCAAACAAGAGAUCUUUCAAUUCCUCUUUUUACCUUCUCUGUUCAGCUGUGAUCUCUGUUCAAGAUUUCUAGGUAAAACCCAUGUCUUUAAAUGUAAAAAGCUUCAAUAUUUCAAAAAAAAUCAGUGAGAUGUUGUUGUUGGUGUUGGCCGCCAAAGGAUAGAUGUGACUUCAUCACAGGUCCUUGUAACUGAUCAAGAUUUUGGUGAUAUCAACUUCAGAAUGAGGCUAUCAGUAUCAGGAAGGUUACUUAUCAGAAAGUACAAAUAAUUCUGAUCAUCCGGAGCGUAAACAAGAUAAAUGGCGUUUGUGACGAAAAUAACAAAACAUGGUUGGCCUGGUAUUUCAUAUAUCAGCAUCAUGGAAAUUAUUAUACAGCCAGAGGCCCUGAGAUGUGAUUCAAGGGAGCAAAGGGUUAUUUUUGUUUACCAGGCACGUGAGUCCUAUUAGUGGGACGUGGUCAAAUCUCUACCACACUUCUCAGUGGCAUCAAUCACAUGAGAAUAGUAUUUUCUCUUCUAUAUCAAAAUAAGAGAAAUUCUCAAGCUGAUGUCCGUUAUUUAGUGUUCUUGGUCUGUGAUGAAAUGAGAUUCAUGGUGCGAAUCGAUGGAAGUAUGAGCUGUUGUUGAAUUAAAGGUUUGAUGGCUUACAUGAAUGAAAGGGAUUUCAGGAGUUUCUGAUUAUGGAUCGAAGCUGGUGGUGAUUGAGCUAUUGCUGCUUGACUGCAGUCGACAUAAUAUUUGAUGUGAAUGGCGUUGCUGCUGUAUAGAGAGCUCGAGGUGGAGAAUAAACAUGGGUUCCAGGGUAUUAUAGUUGUUGCUGCUGCUGUCAAUUGGGGUGAUGAAUGGAGAGGAUAAUGAAUUUUUUUUGAGUUGGAAUCGAACAAGGAAAGAUGGGUACAAGCCAUGAAAGAUGGGUUGAUGUGGAAUUCGAAAAUCAGCAAGAGAAUAUCAAUUUUAAAGCUUGCAGAACAUCCACGAGACGGUGACUUUGCUGCUGUUUUGUGGUGUUGAACGGCCAAGACUUGGUAACUUUGAGAACCGGUGUAUGUGAAUGAAUAUGGAGUGUGUAUGAAUUGCGACUUUGCAGGUCGAAUGAGCUAUAGGAGGGACCUCAUAAAACCAGUUGAAGUACACCGGAGGACACACUGAAGCUGCACUUCUAGUAUUCAUAGAAAGGCCUGAAAGAAUAUCAGAUUUGGUUCAUAGAGAUGGGUUUUGUGUGUUGACUGGAUUGGAUUCAAUUGAGAAUUGGCAGCGAACAAAGGGACUGGUGUUGGCUGAUUUGAAUGGAGUGCAGUAAACUGCUAUUGGUUGUGACUGCGAAGACGAGUUUAUGAAGCCAGAUGAAAGCAAAGAAGAUGAUGGAGGUUUUAGCUGAAUUCUCAUGAGGAGUUGAGGCUCGACUGGUUCUGAUUUUGGAAGAUUAUGCCAAUUGACGAAACUGAGAUGGUCACUGAGUUGUUGUUGUGUCCAAGCUAUGGUUGAGCAAUGCAGUCGAUGGAGUAAGCAACUUUGUAACGGCAGCUGUGUGCUCAAGUUUAUUUGGAGUCUGUGUGGUGAAUUCGAAUCCGUUCUUGGAGAUGAUGUUAAUGGUUGCAACUACGGAACUGUGGGACUCCCGAAAUUGGUGUCUGGAUUGUUUGCAGGGGACGAUGGAAUUGUAGUUCUGAUUACAGGAAGUACUGGUGGUAAUGGGUUCUGAAUUUAUUAUGGCAGCAGUGGUCAUUGAAGCAAAGAAGUGCAUGUGAAUCUUAUCGGCUGGUGGUGUAGCCGAGGGGGAGAGAACUGGCAUUCGGUAGUGGCCAGGACGGACAGAAGAUUAGAGUUGCUGUGUGGAGGCGAGUUUUCAAAGUGUGGAUUUGGGCCUGAAUUCGGAAAUGGAUUUUGGUGAUUGAAGCGGGCCUCGAGCAAAUUAUUUGCUAGGUCUUAAUGAGUAUUCCCACAACUUGAAUAUAUUGGAAUGAGAGAAGAACAGACGGAGGAGGUCGGGCGGGCGGGGAUUCUUUUGAACAUGCGCGGCUACACAGCCGUUUGGGGUUUGAGAUUUCAUUUUCUCUUUUGAUUAGCUAUUAAUUUUACAUUUGUUUAUGGCUUUUAUUAUUUAUUGUAGGUUGCUAUUCACAUACACCGGUUUUCGAAGUUACAAGUCUUGGCCGUUCAACACCACAAAACAGCAGCAAAGUCACCAUCUCGUGGCUGUUCUGCAAGCUUUAAAAUUGAUAUUCUCUUGUUGAUUUUCGAAAUCCACAUCAACCCAUCUUUCAUGGCUUGUACCCAUCCUUCCUUGUUCGAUUCCAACUCAAAACAAAUUCAUUAUCCUCUCCAUUCAUCACCCCUAUUGACGGCAGCAGCAGCAACUAUAAUACCCUGGAACCGAUGUUUAUACAGCAGCAACGCCAUUCACAUCAAAGAUUAUGUCGACUGCAAUCAAGCAGCAAUAGCUCAAUCACCACCAAUUUCGAUCCAUAAUCAGAAACUCCUGAAAUCCCUUUCAUUCAUGUAAGCCAUCAAACCUUUAAUUCAACAACAGCUCAUACUUCCAUCGAUUCGCACCAUGAAUCUCAUUUCAUCACAGACCAAGAACACUAAAUAACGGACAGCAGCUUGAGAAUUUCUCUUGUUUUGAUAUAGAAGAGAAAAUACUAUUCUCAUGUGAUUGAUGCCACUGAGAAGUGUGGUAGAGAUUUGACCACGUCCCACUAAUAGGACUCACGUGCCUGGCAAACAAGAAUAACCCUUUGCUCCCUUGAAUCAUAUCUCAGGGCCUCUGGCUGUAUAAUGAUUUCCAUGAUGCUGAUAUAUGAAAUACCAGGCCAGACAUGUUUUGUUAUUUUCGUCACAAACGCCAUUUAUCUUGUUUACGCUCCGGAUGAUCAGAAUUAUUUGUACUUUCUGUAAAAGCACUAAAAUGAUAUUGUUAGCCAAAUUCUCGAGUUCUAGCUAAUAUAAAUAUGGGUAUAAAAUGCA